rnacentral:rRNA from 1 species
GACGAACGCUGGCGGCGUGCUUAACACAUGCAAGUCGAACGGAAAGGCCCUGCUUUUGUGGGGUGCUCGGGUGGCGAACGGGUGAGCAACACGUGAGUAACCUGCCCUUGACUUUGGGAUAACUUCAGGAAACUGGGGCUAAUACCGGAUAGGAGCUCCUGCUGCAUGGUGGGGGUUGGAAAGUUUCGGCGGUUGGGGAUGGACUCGCGGCUUAUCAGCUUGUUGGUGGGGUAGUGGCUUACCAAGGCUUUGACGGGUAGCCGGCCUGAGAGGGUGACCGGCCACAUUGGGACUGAGAUACGGCCCAGACUCCUACGGGAGGCAGCAGUGGGGAAUAUUGCACAAUGGGCGGAAGCCUGAUGCAGCAACGCCGCGUGCGGGAUGACGGCCUUCGGGUUGUAAACCGCUUUCGCCUGUGACGAAGCGUGAGUGACGGUAAUGGGUAAAGAAGCACCGGCUAACUACGUG